UGUUAACUAGUGAGGUGUUGACUGGCACCCAUCCAUGACUGACCCAAGUUGAGUCAGUGUGAGCCAAGGAACACUAGUAAACACUGCCUGACCUCCCUCCUGAGUGACACACAGCAUAUAUACCCACACACACCGAAAGAUUUGUGGUCAUCUGCAUGAACAUCAAGUUUGCCAUUGCGCUUUCAUAUGACAAGAAGUCAGUGACAUCACUGACUUCCUCUGAAAUGUCAUUGUGGAUGACUGUGGGACAAUCCCUGUUGUUGUUCUUGAUGCCUGCAUCAGAGGAUUGAAGGAUCUCCCUGCAGAGCAGGUGAGGACCAGAGCGGUGCAAAGAAUCAGCAGCGUCUGGAUGUUGGGGUAAAAUGGCAGUGGCAGAGCUGAUGAUAGAGAAAAUGGCUUAGUUAAAUACAGAGUAUCUUCAUUCAUCCUGUGGUGCUGGUACUACUGCUGGUGCUGCUACUGCAGAUAAUCCUCAUACCUGCAGAAGAUAUUUUUGAGUUAUUACUGAGUACACUAUAGACUGAUCAGCAUACAAGUGUAACUUGUACAGAAAACUCUUACCAUGUAACAAAAAAAUUAAAAGUGUAGGAAAAUCUUAUGCAGUAUAAAGUGUGUAAUGCUGAUGAGACUGGAUUAUGAUGAAGUAUAUGAUUUACCAACUUCAAGAAUAAGAGAACUUCAGGAACUACCACUAAAACAAUAGCCGAGUCAGAAAUGGACCACUGGAAAAUCAUUGCUCUAACAGUGCACAAAGAACUUGAAUUACCAAGCAAGAAAACUUUGCAUCAACUUUCAAGGCAGCCAAGGAUCACUUCAGGAGGCUUAUGUCUGUGAAUUAAAUGGACAGUUUCCAGUGCAAUCCUAUGCUUAGUGUGCAGAGAAUCCCAGUCCACUGAAAGGAAAAAACAAAGCCUGUUUGCCCUCUAUUUAGCAGUGGAUGACUGAGGCCGUUUGUUGCAUGAUUCAACUAAUGUUUUAUUCCUGCAGUGAAGAUGCACAUAUUUAACCAGAAAGAAUUGAGUAUUAGAGAUUCUCCUCACCCUUGAAAAUUCUCUCAUCCUGCAAUCAAAGCUUCUGGACCAAAAUGCAAACCUUGUGUUUUUACUAUCUAAUAUGAUUGAUACAGCAUCUAGAUCAAAAAGUUAUUAAGACAUUUAAGUGCCACUUCAUGUACAAAACCCUACACAGAAAUGGAUGACAAAUGAGACUAGUGUGCCAGAGUUCAGGCAUAAAUUUAUCAUUGUAGAAGCACUUACACUGGUGUCAGGGGAUGCUGUACCUCCAGUCACCCAUAAAUGAUGGCUAGGAAGCACUUGUGAUGUGCGAAAAAUAAUUUCUCUGCAUUUUCCUUGCUAGGAUGUCGCAUCCAAAAAAACUGUAGCAACAACAAGUACAGCGAGAGUUCGUGGCCUUUGAAGAUAAUGAUGUGAAUGAAUUGUUGGAAAAAGAUUAAUCGACUGCAAAAGUAACGUCAAAGGAACUCAAAACCAAGUCUAUCCAAAUGAUAAGUUGACAUGUGCUUCAGCAAUGUAUAGAUGGAAGUGAAGGCUAACAAAGACAAGUGAAAAAGAUAAGACACAAUUUGCAGAGGCACUUGGAAGACAAAUGUCUGUGAAACAAGCCUCAGUCAAUACACACGAAUGAACAAGAAACAUAUACAAGAACAGUCAGGCAAGUGGUGGGGUCAGUGAGGUCAAGGUAUUGGAGUUUGAGAGAGGCACUGUAGGACUACUGGUCUGUUAAUAACUUGUUUGCAAGAGAAGUUGGGCUAAAAGAUUGACUGAACUGAAAGCACCACGAUUCUAUUACUGUAUUUUGUAUACAGAUCAGAGCAGCUUCCAGGCAGUUGUGCUAAGUCAUCUUUUUUCCUCAUGACCAGCUGGGCAUCUUUAGAAGACAUCAGGUGUGUGGUCUUAUUCCUAUGUAUAAAGCAGGCAAAAUUCACGCUGAGAGUUCUGUACACAGUAAUUUUUGUAACCUGAUCUGUAUGCUGUAGAUUUCCCCCAUGUAAUACCAGUCACAACCACAGCAUAGUAUGAUACAGACACCUGCACUGUGUGGUCAAGGGGGUUGUUAUUAUUCCUGGUUAAGCCUUUGAUGGUGAUGGAUGUGAUGGUAGCAACACCUAUGUUGCUCUUGAAGAGGGCAGGUGUAACAUCCUGAGGUGUGGCCAGUAGGAAGUUUCCAUUUGUAUCUUAUCUCUGGUAUAGGUUAAGUAAAGAAUUUGUAAUUGGUCCCUGUUGUUCUGGAUGACAUGUAAAUUUUAGAGUUGAAAUGUCCUUUUAGAAUGUUGCACUCUUCAUAAAGGUAUUUUAGGCUGCAGAUCUUGUCAGCAUGUUAAAACAUGGCAACAAGUGUACUGCGUGGGUCGUACACACAGUUUUCAUCUCUGUGAAACUAGACCAAAAUAGAAUAUUCAUCCUUCCUACAAGCCCCACUGCAGGAUAUAUUGCACUUGCUUUCUCCAGGAGUAACAUAGGCGUUGCUACCAGUACAUCCUGUAUCAUCAAAGACUUGACCAAGCUUGUAGGCAGUCAUUUUGAUCACCAGCAAUGCAGGUAUCUACAUGGAAACAUAAACACAUAUGCAGUUUAAUGUGAUCCUUUAUUGACAACGUUUCGCCCACACAGUGGGCUUUUUCAAGUCACAAACAGAUCUACCUGGGGUGGAAGGAACGGGAGUAUUUAUAGUCAGGUUCAGAAUGUUGAGGUCAGGUGGAGAAUGCUGCAUCUGAUGAUCUGCCGGGUGGGGUUAUAGAGUCUUGAGUAGCUUGGCAGGGGUAUUGGACAAGUUGUGAGUAGACCUUCUGCAGUGUUCUAUGUUCUUAUGUGGGAUAGCGAUGAAGUUUCUUGGCAAGUGGUUCAGCUAUGUUAUAGAAGCCAUUGUUCUGGUUGAAAUUGUUGGUUAUAGAGAUAAGCGAUGAUUCCAGGAUUCUUCGGUAUUGAGUGUUGUCUUCUGUGGCGAUAAGUCUUGAGUUUCUGUAGUUAAUUAAAUGGUUGUGUGAAUUGCGAUGUUGUACACAGGCAUUCCUUGUAUCGUCAGUCCUGCUUGCGUAUUGGUGUUCUGAAAUACAUGUACGUGUUUGGAGGUCUCUUGAUGUUUCGCCCACAUAUAAUUUGUUGGUCAUUACAAGGGAUUAUGUAUACCCCUGCAGAGGAUGGAAGCUUGUCCUGUCUACUACUGGUGAUGUCCUUGAUGGUCGUGGUUGUGGAGGUAGAUACUUGAAAUGAUGUAUUGGAAAAGAUGUUGGAAACAUGUUUGGCAAUGGAGUUGGUGGGGAGGACUAUGUAUCUCUUCUCGGCAGUGUCUUCUCUGGGUGUGUUGAAGAUGUUUAAUGCCCGCCGUCUGCAGUCUCUGAUGAAGUGACGAGGAUAGUGGAGUUUAGAAAAUACUUGUUCAAUUAUAGUGCAUUCUUCCUCGAGGAACUCAUUGCUGCAGAUUCUGAGUGCACGCAGGAAGAAGCCUAUAAUUACACCACGUUUAGUUUUGGUGUCGUGGAGAAGAUCGUUUUGGUUGGUUCAUGGUCAGCUUUGCAGAGAACAUCAAGGAAAGGAAGAGUGUUGACAUUCUCCUCAUAACUCCCAGGCGCUUCAACGUUCAAGCUCUCCAAGACAAGCUCAACCAGGUCGAACCCUCAAUCCAGUUCACACUUGAAGAAGUAGACAACACUCUUCCUUUCCUUGAUGUUCUUCUCUGCAAAGCUGACCAUCAACUUCGUUUUAAAGUCUAUCGAAAACCAACCAACCAAAACAAUCUUCUCCACUUCUACUCUCACCACGACACCAAAACUAAACGUGGUGUAAUUAUAGGCUUCUUCCUGCGCGCACUCAGAAUCUGCAGCAAUGAGUUCCUCGAGGAAGAAUGCACUAUAAUUGAACAAGUAUUUUCUAAACUCCACUAUCCUCGUCACUUCAUCAGAGACUGCAGACGGCGGGCAUUAAACAUCUUCAACACACCCAGAGAAGACACUGCCGAGAAGAGAUACAUAGUCCUCCCCACCAACUCCAUUGCCAAACAUGUUUCCAACAUCUUUUCCAAUACAUCAUUUCAAGUAUCUACCUCCACAACCACGACCAUCAAGGACAUCACCAGUAGUAGACAGGACAAGCUUCCAUCCUCUGCAGG